GGUUAAGCGACUAAGCGUACACGGUGGAUGCCCUGGCAGUCAGAGGCGAUGAAGGACGUGCUAAUCUGCGAUAAGCGUCGGUAAGGUGAUAUGAACCGUUAUAACCGGCGAUUUCCGAAUGGGGAAACCCAGUGUGUUUCGACACACUAUCAUUAACUGAAUCCAUAGGUUAAUGAGGCGAACCGGGGGAACUGAAACAUCUAAGUACCCCGAGGAAAAGAAAUCAACCGAGAUUCCCCCAGUAGCGGCGAGCGAACGGGGAGCAGCCCAGAGCCUGAAUCAGUGUGUGUGUUAGUGGAAGCGUCUGGAAAGGCGUGCGAUACAGGGUGACAGCCCCGUACACAAAAAUGCACAUGCUGUGAGCUCGAUGAGUAGGGCGGGACACGUGGUAUCCUGUCUGAAUAUGGGGGGACCAUCCUCCAAGGCUAAAUACUCCUGACUGACCGAUAGUGAACCAGUACCGUGAGGGAAAGGCGAAAAGAACCCCGGCGAGGGGAGUGAAAAAGAACCUGAAACCGUGUACGUACAAGCAGUGGGAGCACGCUUAGGCGUGUGACUGCGUACCUUUUGUAUAAUGGGUCAGCGACUUAUAUUCUGUAGCAAGGUUAACCGAAUAGGGGAGCCGAAGGGAAACCGAGUCUUAACUGGGCGUUAAGUUGCAGGGUAUAGACCCGAAACCCGGUGAUCUAGCCAUGGGCAGGUUGAAGGUUGGGUAACACUAACUGGAGGACCGAACCGACUAAUGUUGAAAAAUUAGCGGAUGACUUGUGGCUGGGGGUGAAAGGCCAAUCAAACCGGGAGAUAGCUGGUUCUCCCCGAAAGCUAUUUAGGUAGCGCCUCGUGAAUUCAUCUCCGGGGGUAGAGCACUGUUUCGGCAAGGGGGUCAUCCCGACUUACCAACCCGAUGCAAACUGCGAAUACCGGAGAAUGUUAUCACGGGAGACACACGGCGGGUGCUAACGUCCGUCGUGAAGAGGGAAACAACCCAGACCGCCAGCUAAGGUCCCAAAGUCAUGGUUAAGUGGGAAACGAUGUGGGAAGGCCCAGACAGCCAGGAUGUUGGCUUAGAAGCAGCCAUCAUUUAAAGAAAGCGUAAUAGCUCACUGGUCGAGUCGGCCUGCGCGGAAGAUGUAACGGGGCUAAACCAUGCACCGAAGCUGCGGCAGCGACACUAUGUGUUGUUGGGUAGGGGAGCGUUCUGUAAGCCUGUGAAGGUGUGCUGUGAGGCAUGCUGGAGGUAUCAGAAGUGCGAAUGCUGACAUAAGUAACGAUAAAGCGGGUGAAAAGCCCGCUCGCCGGAAGACCAAGGGUUCCUGUCCAACGUUAAUCGGGGCAGGGUGAGUCGACCCCUAAGGCGAGGCCGAAAGGCGUAGUCGAUGGGAAACAGGUUAAUAUUCCUGUACUUGGUGUUACUGCGAAGGGGGGACGGAGAAGGCUAUGUUGGCCGGGCGACGGUUGUCCCGGUUUAAGCGUGUAGGCUGGUUUUCCAGGCAAAUCCGGAAAAUCAAGGCUGAGGCGUGAUGACGAGGCACUACGGUGCUGAAGCAACAAAUGCCCUGCUUCCAGGAAAAGCCUCUAAGCAUCAGGUAACAUCAAAUCGUACCCCAAACCGACACAGGUGGUCAGGUAGAGAAUACCAAGGCGCUUGAGAGAACUCGGGUGAAGGAACUAGGCAAAAUGGUGCCGUAACUUCGGGAGAAGGCACGCUGAUAUGUAGGUGAAGCGACUUGCUCGUGGAGCUGAAAUCAGUCGAAGAUACCAGCUGGCUGCAACUGUUUAUUAAAAACACAGCACUGUGCAAACACGAAAGUGGACGUAUACGGUGUGACGCCUGCCCGGUGCCGGAAGGUUAAUUGAUGGGGUUAGCCGCAAGGCGAAGCUCUUGAUCGAAGCCCCGGUAAACGGCGGCCGUAACUAUAACGGUCCUAAGGUAGCGAAAUUCCUUGUCGGGUAAGUUCCGACCUGCACGAAUGGCGUAAUGAUGGCCAGGCUGUCUCCACCCGAGACUCAGUGAAAUUGAACUCGCUGUGAAGAUGCAGUGUACCCGCGGCAAGACGGAAAGACCCCGUGAACCUUUACUAUAGCUUGACACUGAACAUUGAGCCUUGAUGUGUAGGAUAGGUGGGAGGCUUUGAAGUGUGGACGCCAGUCUGCAUGGAGCCGACCUUGAAAUACCACCCUUUAAUGUUUGAUGUUCUAACGUUGACCCGUAAUCCGGGUUGCGGACAGUGUCUGGUGGGUAGUUUGACUGGGGCGGUCUCCUCCUAAAGAGUAACGGAGGAGCACGAAGGUUGGCUAAUCCUGGUCGGACAUCAGGAGGUUAGUGCAAUGGCAUAAGCCAGCUUGACUGCGAGCGUGACGGCGCGAGCAGGUGCGAAAGCAGGUCAUAGUGAUCCGGUGGUUCUGAAUGGAAGGGCCAUCGCUCAACGGAUAAAAGGUACUCCGGGGAUAACAGGCUGAUACCGCCCAAGAGUUCAUAUCGACGGCGGUGUUUGGCACCUCGAUGUCGGCUCAUCACAUCCUGGGGCUGAAGUAGGUCCCAAGGGUAUGGCUGUUCGCCAUUUAAAGUGGUACGCGAGCUGGGUUUAGAACGUCGUGAGACAGUUCGGUCCCUAUCUGCCGUGGGCGCUGGAGAACUGAGGGGGCUGCUCCUAGUACGAGAGGACCGGAGUGGACGCAUCACUGGUGUUCGGGUUGUCAUGCCAAUGGCACUGCCCGGUAGCUAAAUGCGGAAGAGAUAAGUGCUGAAAGCAUCUAAGCACGAAACUUGCCCCGAGAUGAGUUCUCCCUGACUCCUUGAGAGUCCUGAAGGAACGUUGAAGACGACGACGUUGAUAGGCCGGGUGUGUAAGCGCAGCGAUGCGUUGAGCUAACCGGUACUAAUGAACCGUGAGGCUUAACCUU
rnacentral:rRNA from 1 species